rnacentral:SRP_RNA from 1 species
GUUUCUUACCGGGUAGGAGGAGACUUCAAAAUCACCCUGGGGCUUUUUAAACAGAGCAAUUACUUGAGCUUGAGAGUUCUGGGCUGCAGUGUGCUAUGCCAGUUGGGUGUCUGCAUCAAUAUGGGGACCCCCCCCCCACUGCCACCAAAAGCAGGGGACCCAUCAGGUUGCCUAAGGAGGAGUGAACUGGCCCAGGUCAGAAAUGGAGCAGGUCAAAACUCCUGCACGGAUCAGUAGUGCGACUGCACCUGUGACUAGCCACUGCAUCCCAGCCUGGGCAACAUCGUGAGACCCUGUCUCA